UAUAGAGGUCUCAAGCGUUGUUCGGAUUCAUUGGGCGUAAAGGGUGCGUAGGCGGCGCGGUAAGUCGGGUGUGAAAUCUCGGAGCUUAACUCCGAAACUGCAUUCGAUACUGCCGUGCUUGAGGACUGGAGAGGAGACUGGAAUUUACGGUGUAGCGGUGAAAUGCGUAGAUAUCGGGAGGAACACCAGUGGCGAAGGCGACUACCUGGCCUGUUCUUGACGCUGAGGCGCGAAAGCUAGGGGAGCAAACGGG
rnacentral:rRNA from 1 species